UUGGAGGGCAAGUCUGGUGCCAGCAGCCGCGGUAAUUCCAGCUCCAAUAGCGUAUAUUAAAGUUGUUGCAGUUAAAAAGCUCGUAGUUGAAUUUCGGGAUUGACACAUCGGUCGUGCCUUAAGGGGUAUGAACUGGUGUAGUCAAUUUCUCACCUUCUGGAGAACCACGAUGCCCUUAAUUGGGUGUCGCGGGGAACCAGGACCUUUACUUUGAAAAAAUUAGAGUGUUUAAAGCAGGCAUUUUGCUUGAAUACAUUAGCAUGGAAUAAUAAAAUAGGACGGCAUGAUUCUAUUUUGUUGGUUUCUAGGAUCACCGUAAUGAUUAAUAGGGAUAGUUGGGGGCAUUAGUAUUCAAUUGUCAGAGGUGAAAUUCUUGGAUUUAUUGAAGACUAACUACUGCGAAAGCAUUUGCCAAGGAUGUUUUCAUUAAUCAAGAACGAAAGUUAGGGGAUCGAAGACGAUCAGAUACCGUCGUAGUCUUAACCAUAAACUAUGCCGACUAGGAACCAGACGAUGUUAAUUUUUUAAUGACUCGUUUGGCACCUUACGGGAAACCAAAGUGUUUGGGUUC
rnacentral:rRNA from 1 species